CCCUUAGAUGUUCUGGGCCGCACACGCGCUACACUGGCGGGUUCAGCGAGCUUCAUGCCCUGAUCUGAGAAGAAUGGGAAACCUUUUCAACACCCGCCGUGCUUGGGAUAGAUGUUUGCAAAUAUUCAUCUUCAACGAGGAUUGCCUUGUAAGCGCACGUCAUCAGCGUGCAUUGAAUACGACCCUGUAUUCUGUACACACCGCCCGUCGCUCCUACCGAUUGAAGUUUUCGGUGAAUUUGCUGGAGGUUCGCUUUGAACUUGGUUCGCCAGCGGAUUUGUGUCCCAAAAGCAAAUGAAUCGAUGGCUUUAGAGGAAGGAGAAGUCGUAACA
rnacentral:rRNA from 1 species